rnacentral:lncRNA from 1 species
CUCCUGGACGACGGGCUGGUUGAGGGCAAAGGACAGGAAGUGUGUGAAGGGCUGCUUCUUACGGAAGCUGUCGAGAAGAACAUCGAUGCGCGUCCGGGCCGAGAUGACACCGCCGCGCUGCUGUCCUGUAAUCACAAUUUCUCCUUCCAAUCCAGGCUUGGGAAUGCUGAUUGAAGUUCGAGUCUCUGUUUCUAUUCUCUUCUUGGUUUCUCCUUUCUUCCCUAUUAUGUACUUGUAUAAGGGGCUGGGAACCUCCACUCUGCACUGGAAGCCUUUAUCAGUCUCUUCCACCACAAAGGCAUCGCAUGGUUCGUCCGCACAGUCACUGGGCCCUGUGUAGAAGUUCUC